GGCUAGGUAGCUCAGUUGGUAGAGCAGCGGAUUGAAAAUCCGCGUGUCGGCAGUUCGAUUCUGUCCCUGGCCACCA
rnacentral:tRNA from 2 species